rnacentral:rRNA from 1 species
UACGGGGGGGGCAAGCGUUGUUCGGAUUUAUUGGGCGUAAAGAGCGUGUAGGCGGCUCGGUAAGUCCGCUGUGAAAGUCCAGGGCUCAACCCUGGAAUGCCGGUGGAAACUGUCGAGCUAGAGUCCGGAAGGGGCGAGUGGAAUUCCUGGUGUAGCGGUGAAAUGCGCAGAUAUCAGGAGGAACACCAAUGGCGAAGGCAGCUCGCUGGCUCGAUACUGACGCUGAGGUGCGAAAGCGUGGGGAGCAAACAGG